CUUUGGUUUGAGGUGAGGAGCAUCAGGAAGCUGGCAGGUCUUGGGGUUGUCCCCAUGGCCAUCCCCAGCCAUGCCCCCAGCCAGAGCCAGACCACACCCUGCAUAACUCAGGUUUCCAGGAGACCCUUGGAGCAGAGACCCUUUCCAUGUCAUGAACAGAAACAAUCUGGGACCAGCAACAAAAAUUCCCAGAAUUAUGCCGCUUUACCAUCACUCUUUCACAAUUCCAAAUACCAGAGCUGGGAGUUUCACCAGGGUUUUUCAGAGGACCUGUGAGGUUCAGCUGCUUCCAGAAGCGUGGGUCAAGGAUCUUGAGCUAAUCGAUGGGGUUUGGGCAGCUCAGUGACAUCGGUUGGGGUUUUGAGAGAAGAAGCACAUUUUUCUACCUCAUAGCCAGAGGAAUGCUAAUUCUAGAAAGGGGGAAUUCAUCCCCUCCCUGUUCACUACUUCCUCAACUCUGGUUCCCAGAAUCCUACUCAUUAACAGUGAAUACACAAAGAAGCCUGAGAAAGAUAGAAGAGGCCCAUAACAGCUGCCCUAUAUGGCAACUCCCAGCCUUUUCCUUUUACCAUCUUUCUUUGGUGCCUAAAGAUACAGAAAAUUGCUGGGAGAAACUGCAAGUACUAUUUCUAACCUAACCCCUAUUUGGAAAUAUAUGGGAGUAAUAAAUAACCUGCUCAAAUGCCUUCACAAUCCAAGAAGUGCCAACCAAGACAACCUUAACCCUACCUUUAUUUGCACAAGAAUGGUAACAAAAGCAAAGGCCAAGAUGCAACUUCAGUGGGUGUGUGGAGAAAAAAAUAUGAGUUCUAUUAGGCUGUCAGCAGAUCCCACUCCAGAGAGGGCCAACAAGUGACAAUGUCACAUGGAAACAACUUCUGCAUUAUUCAAUGGCUGAUUGAUGGUAUGAUGUGACAUUAUAAAAACAUGGAAAUAUGAAAGCUAAAAGGAAACACGGAAAGGCAUGAAUGAAAUUUUGCAAAGAUGAACAGGAACAGAACAAUACAUACAUAGUAACUACACAGCCAAGAAUAAUGAAAGAGUUAAUAUUUAAAAUAUUCAAUAUACUGUGUUAAGGAUUUUAUGUAAAAUUCCACUUAUUUUGCAUGUUUUGUUAGCUCUACUGAUGCUUGUGUAUAACAUUAAAAAAAAAAAAAACCCUUACCUGCCACCUGAGAAUCAAUACUGUGUAUUGGUUCCAAGGCAGAAGAGUGGUAAGGGCUAGGCAAUGGGAGUCAAGUGACUUGCCCAGGGUCACACAACUGGGAUGUGUCUGAAGCCACACUUGAACCCAGAACCUCUAGUCUCUAGGCCUGGCUCUCAAUCCACUGAGUCAUCCAGCUGUCUUCACAACUUUGUAAAAAAUAUCAUUGAAUAUCAGCUGAAGAGAGAAAUAAGUAACUUAUAAGCUAUUAAGGAUAUCUUAGAUCUUUACAAGUCUGAUCAAAUCAUUUCCUUGCUCAAAAAAAAAAAAAGUCUAAGAGGCAGCUUCCUGUUGCCCUUGGGAUAAAAUACAAAUCCCUCCUGUUGGCAUUUGAAGCCUUUCACACACUGACUCUAGCCUCUUCAGAAUGGGUCCAUAUAGCUUUCUCUCUUACUCUCAGAGGUGGCUCUUAAGUACCAUUGCAUCUCCUGCCUCCACCUAGCUAUAAGGGCUAUCCCCAAAGCUUGGAACUCUCUCCCUGACCCCAGCUCAUGGAAAUAGGUAUCGUCUCCACUCCCAGAAAGGGGUGCUAGUUAUGGACACAGCCAGGAGAGGAGGAUAGGCCACAUGUUGGGGAUGGGGAUAGGCAGGUGGUAGGCACUUCAGUGUGGAUAGAUGGAAGACAAACUGGUGGAUAGAGCUGCUUCAAGUGCCUUGUUUUUCUGCUUCUACUUGGAGGGUGUUAUUUUAGGAUUUUUGUUUGGGCUCUGAGGGUGGGUAGCUGCAGAACACAGGUGGGGGAGGGCACAGUAUUGUACAGUAUAAUUAAAACAGGGAUCUUUUGGAAUGCAGAUUCCUUUCAGAAUUCCUUACCUAAAGCUAAACUUGAGUAAUUUGAAUGGACAAAGUGGUAACUCUCUAUUUUACAUUCACUUAUCUGUGUACUUUCUAUUUUAAUAGAAUGCAAGCUUCUAAGUAGAAAUCACUGUUUCUUGGUAUUCCCUACACUUAGCUAAGUGUCUAGCACUUGUAUAGGAACUUAAUUAGUGCUUGUCAAACCAAAUAAAAAUUCAUUAAAAAAAAAAUCACACAUCCAUACCCACCUGUAAAUCUGUUUCGGUAGCUUCCUUCUUAACCCAACAUAAUGUGCUAUUACAUUGGUGAGGCAGAUUUGUAACCCAAAAGCAGAAAAUGACUCCAAAAUGUUAACAAGAAAGACCGCAGAGAAAAACACAGACUGAGCAGAAACCUAAUUAGAAUUCCUGGAAGAGAUGAAGCAAGAAAUUUAAAAUGCUUUUACAAACGGAAGGAGAUAAUAAUGGAAAACGUGGUCCAGUUUCCAGAGAGAAGAGAAAAUAUCCAAGGAUUACUUUGUAGAGUUAGAAAACAUAACAACAAAAUCAAGAAUGUCCUACACUACAAAGCAGUAAUCAUUCAAACAAUUUGGUGUGCUGGGCAAAAAACAGAGGUUGAGUAGUGGAAAGGAGCAGGCAUACAACACAGAGAAGCAAAUGAGCACAGUAGCCUCAUGUGGGAUAAACCCACAAAUCCCAGCUACUAGGGCAGGAACUCCCUGCAUUAAAAACUGUGAAAUUGUGAAAACCAGAAAGCAGCUGGGAGAAACUAGGUAUAAACCAAGAGCUCACAGUCAGAACUGAAACCAUCUAAAAAGGAACAUGGCAUAGACUCAAAGGAUGGCACCUUAAGUAAAUUAGAGACCAAGGAAGAAAUGACUUCUCAGAUCUAUGGAGGAGAGAAGAGUUCAUGACCAAACAAAAGAAACAAAGGGUCAAGUAAGGCAAAAUGGACAAUUUCCAUUGCAUAAAAUUAUAAAGUUUUUCAACAAACAAAACCAAUGUGCUAAAAUCAGAAAAACAGGUAAAGGGUGAAAAUCCUCAUAACAAGUCUCUUUGAUCUUAUUUAAUAAUAUAUAGCUUUGAUAUAGUGCUUUAAGGCUUGCAAAGCACUUUACAAAUAUUGUCUCAUUUGAUCCUCACAAUGAUCCUAGGAGGUAGAUGCUAUUAUUAUCCUCAUUUUACAGAGGAGGGAAUUGAGGCUCACAGAGGUAGAAUGACUUGCCCAGGAUCACACAGCUACUGCUUGAGAAUGGAUCUGAACUCAAACCAAACUGAGUUCUUGUCUCCAAUCCCAACACUCUAUCUACUACAGCACCCAAGGGAGAUAUCAUAGGGCAGAGAUAGCAAACUCAAGUUGUCCCCAAAAUCGGGAAGUGUUUAACAAAAUAAAUCAAAAUAUAAUAGAACACAGAUAAUAGAUACUGUUAAUUUGUUGUUUUCUAAAUCAGUGUGUGGCUGCUGGUAAGAACCUGUUUCUACCUGAAUUUGAUACCACUGGAUAAAAAAGAACUGAUUCAAAUUUUUAAGAAGACCCACUCCUGAAUUGGUGAGUAGUCAAAUAUGACUACACCAUCUAUCUUCAGGGGAAGAAAUUCAAACUAUCAUAAUCCCAUGAAAACAUACUGUAGUUAGAGAAGAACAAAUUUAAAAAACUGAAUUUGUAAAGUUGACACAAAUGGAAAUUGACAAAUGCUGGAGAGGCUUUGAGUUGGUACUCUGGCCAUUCUGAAAAGUAAUUUGCUAUUCAAUCAUGUACAUUCUUUGAGCCAGCUAAAUCACUACCAUGUCUACCUCUUCAGAAAGAUCAAAGAGAGAGAGAACAGGGACAAAAACAACUAUAGCUGGCUUUCUAGUAUCAAAGAAUUGGAAAGUGGAAGGGGUAACCCUCAUCAACUGGGGAAUGACUGAUCAAGUUAUGGUAUAGGAAAUGUGACAUAAUACUAUUGUACUCCAAGAAAUUAUGCAGGGGACGGUUUCAGAGUUUCAGAGAAACUUGGGGAAAACGUGUAUGACCUGAUAUGGAGCCAAGUGGGCAGAAGCAGGAGGACAAUUUAUACAGCAACAAUAGUGUAAAGAUAGUUUUGAAGUACUGGGGAACUCUGCUCAGUACAAUGACCAACCACAAUUCUAUAGUAUAGAAGAAACAUGUUAUCAGAGUCCUAACAGAGGGGUGAUGGACUCGGAGAGGAAGAAAAUGAGGCUUUAAAAAAGACCAUAGCCAAUGCAAGGAUUUCUUUUGAUUGACUAUGUUUUUAACACGGAUUUUGUUUUGAUCGCUAUUUCAAUCAGGAAGUGAGGGGGAAGGCAAUGUUCAUCAGAAAAUAAUUAAUUAAAAUAAUGAAUGCACCUAUAAACUCCUUGAGACUUGGACCUAUGGAGUCAUUUUUCUACUCUGUAUUUCCCGUAGCACAAAGCCUGGAGUAAAUGAAUUCUUGUUGACUCUUGAGAAAGGUCGGAGAGAAGAGGAAAAACAUAAGGAGUAAAGAAAAAGAGGAAUCAAGACAAAGCUAGAAGGAUUUUCUGAAUUACAUCUAUUGGUGGCAGUGUAGUGAGGUGGAAACAAGGAAGGUGACAUGGAGAUCAGAGAAAGUUCAACCCACUUUUGCAGACAUACAGUCCCUCAUUUGCCCACAGAGAACUUGUCUCAUAGUAAGGCUGGGCUGAACCACUCUGAAAACGUUCAACACUCAAAGAUUAGUCCCAUCUAUGUCUCGGCAUAGUUUUUCACCCCUUAGUACUAGAAGGAAAAGAAUUUAGGAAUAUCUCAGAAGACCAAGCUGCACUGAUUGACAUUGUUUUGUUUUAAUCCAUAAAUAAGGCCAAGAAAAUCAGAAUGAAAUUUUACUUUCAAAAUAAAUUUUUAAUAAAGAAUUUUAUGUCAACUAAUA